CUCCCAAGUUGUUUUCCCACCCUUGGAGAGUGCCAGUUAUGAGACCAAGUCCAAAUAGGAACCAGAUAAUAUUGUCCGGUCCAGCCCAGCCAUGGAAAAUCUCAGAGGCCGAGGAUGGAAGCCGUCCAGGAUUAAGCAGUACCGCCGGCCAGCUGUUCCCUGUGAGACUCAGCAGUGAGACAUCUUACUGAAUGAACCACCACGAUAAGGACAAUCUAAAAUGUAUUCCUGGAUGAAUAUUUCGCAUUCUAUCACUAUGCAGUGAAAUGACAUUUCUGUGCAAAAAUGUGGAAGUCUCAAAUUCUAU
rnacentral:lncRNA from 1 species